AAAGACCCGCGCACGUGCCUUCCCUGCCUCUAUGUUCCUGCGGGGGGGGGGCCCCCCCCGGAUCUCUCGGGGAUGUUGAGAAUUUAGUAAAAAAGCACGUCGGGGGUACCCCUUCCCUGUGGCAGGCGCUGCUGAGGACACAGUGAAGGAGGUUGACGGAUUAGCUUGCAAAUUUUAUGGCUCAAAUUCAAAUCCCCAUUCAACCACAUCCUAUCUGAGUGACCUCAGAGGCCAGGGGUUGGAAACAUAAAUUGCCUAGAAUCACCAGGCGGGUAAUGUAAACAGAUGAAGUGCAUUGGAUGCAGGAAAAUCAAGAAACGAUGAGGUCUGCGGUCAACUGGAGAGCACUUUUCUCCUUUAAAGGAUACGGAUUUGAGCUUAAACAGAAAUACUGUGCAAGCCACACAAAGCUUGUCUGGGCUGUAGUUACCCCAAGUAUUUAUAUUUAUGACCUCAGAAUUAAACUUGGAAGAAACAGGUAAAGAAGGUAGCAAAAAAUUAAAAGGCACAAAAUUUACAGGUUUACUAGAAUAUGCUAAAGAAGCAAACAAGAGAUUGCAGCUGCAACACUCCACACCCUAAGAUGGGGGAAAUUCCUCCAGACUUGUGGGGGGACACCAAAAGGAGAGUUUAGAGGGUUCCUGAAUUCCUCCUGUCUGGGCUGCCAAGGAAGUAACAAGACCUCAAGGCAGUGGCUGUAUAUGGGCAGACAUGAUGUCUGCAGACGAGCAAGCAGAAGAGAGCAGAGAGCCUUUACCCUGGAAGGGUCCAGGUGCACAGGGACAGUGAAGCACUCAACAGCAACUCCUUGGGACCCACAUAUGAAUGCAGACCAGAGAACACCCUCUAUCCUUAACUUGUUGGCUCUGUGCUCAACCCUGGAAAUAUAGAGAUGGUCACAGUUUAGGCUGAAGUGGUUUUCUUGCUUCUAGAAAAGUUGAGGGACUAUGGUGCCUGGGU